rnacentral:tRNA from 1 species
GGUUGUGGCUCAGUGGUAGAGUGCUCGCCUGGCAUGCAUGAGGCACUGGGUUCAAUCCUCAGCACCA